ACGGGCCGACGGGCGGUUCGAGGUCCGGGUGCCGGCGGGGCGGCUGGAGCGGGUCACGGUCAGCCGCACCGGUGCGGCAGGCCGGCGGCCCGUC
rnacentral:tRNA from 1 species